GUCUUUAAUCAGCCUCUCCGGGCUGUAAAGUGAGAGAAUCUAAACGUGACGUCAAUGCCUAGUAACUGACGCAGCCCUUCAACAAAAAAUGGCUUUUUAUUUAUUAUUUUUUUUUCCCGUUCUCGUCAGCAAAGCUUAAUUACAAAAUUUUACACAGCUCCGUCGACUAAAAGAAAAAGAAAAUCCCUCCGGGAGCGCCGGGUUGUCCGCGUUAUUUGGACCUAUUUAAUGCUUAUGAGUUUCAGCUGCUGAAGUGAUUCUGGGACUAGAAGCUUCUGAAGAGGGCGACAAGACAUCAAAUAUUGCCGAUGAUCAUGACAGCGUCGAUGAGUUCCUGAUUUCAGUACUUAGGACGGAAAAGUAGCGUGGUUUAGGAGUGAAAAGGACGUAAGGUGCCGUUAGAGGCACAUAGGGCUAAAAAAAAAAACAAAAAAAAAAACACUGCAAUGAUGCAACGGAGGGGAAUCGAGGUUCUUGUGCAGAGUUGGAGAAGCAAAAUUAAUUUACAUGACAUGCACUUCACGUAACGAUCCUAAACGAUGCCUUUUGUGAGUGUUUUUUCCCUUCCUCGUACUGUGACCUAAAAAUAGCAUCAUAGUUUUGAUCGUGCGCCAGAAAUAGACAGACGGGUAUCACUUGUAUAAAAAGGAGGCGAUCCUGAGCAAACUUGGACGUGCCACUUUCAGAACGAGGAUCCUGCACCACGAGGAGCUGUGCUGAAA